UUUUAAUUCAUCAAAGAUCAGCCCCCCAAUUGUGUAAGAAAAACGUUUCAUCGUUAUCGUAAUCGGUAGCAAAUUCUGCCUCUUGAUUGGCUGUGAAAAAAUGUAAAGCGCGAAUCAACCAAUCACAGGGCAGUAUUUGCUGAAAAUAAUGAUGAAUAAAGUUUUCCUUACACAAUCGGAGGGCACAUAAGUUG